CAAUGAAGGAAGCAUGGAAAUGUGCACAUAAAUUGAAUUGGGUCUCUAGGUCUGCCCUCUCUGAUGCCAUUCGAUUUUGAUUUGGGGGCAUAGUUUCGCAACAAAACA